UACGUAGGGGGCGAGCGUUAUCCGGAUUCACUGGGCGUAAAGGGAGCGCAGGCGGCACGACAAGUCCGGUGUGAAAGCCCGGGGCCCAACCCCGGGACUGCACUGGAAACUGCCGGGCUGGAGUGUCGGAGGGGCAGGCGGAAUUCCUAGUGUAGCGGUGAAAUGCGUAGAUAUUAGGAGGAACACCGGUGGCGAAGGCGGCCUGCUGGGCGACGACUGACGCUGAGGCUCGAAAGCGUGGGGAGCAAACAGG
rnacentral:rRNA from 1 species